CUUGCUUUAAAAAUAAAAAACAAUAGAAAAUAAAUAGGUCUUAACAUUGACAUUCAAGAACGUGCCAUUGCUGCUGUGUGCAUCCUGCUGGGCAGUGCCAGUAAUUUAGAAUUAGAGCGAUGCAAUGAAAGAUGAGGCAUUUUCUUGUGCUGGGUUACAGUACAAAGGCAGAUCCUGGUAUAUAUGAAAUACUCCCGGUGAAAUAGGGGGACUUGCAAAAUAGCUGCAAUCCCAGCUGCCCCCGCUGUCUAGUAUGGGAGACAAAAAGAGAAAUUCAGGUUAAGAAAUAGACAGACAACAUGACAUCACUUCUCCAAACCUCGGCUCUGAGCCUGCCAGCCCCGUCCUGCUCCCUCACGUGCCAGGUUUGCUCCACUGCGAGUGAUUGUCCCUCCUUCAGCUCUGGGGUUGUGUCUGUGUCUAUGUCUGUGUGUCCAUCACCCCUGGCCUGGUGCCCCUGGUCCUGGUUCAGCCCUGAGGGAGGUGCCAAGUGUUGCCUUUCUGGGCUCUGGUUUCAGUGGUACCAAGAAGUCUGGAGAACCCUCAGCUCCCAGGGUCAGUGAAAGCAGCUCACUGGGAAGCUCCACUGCAGACAGAUAGCUGGGACCAUCAGGGAGGGGGAGGCUGGCAGAGGCCUGGCACCAGUGCAAUGUUUAUUUAGUUAGAAAACUUAGAAACUCCUUGUCUGACAUCAGCCUGGGUGAGAUGAGCCUCCAAGUGAAACAUGCCAGGUUUGGUACAUGACAGGAGAUAGGAACCAAAGCAACAGUGACAUUCCCUGGCUGUUGGCUGCAGGGUUUGUCCCUGCAGUGUCACCAACCCCAGCCCAGUACAAGUGAAUGGAAAACUGCCCCAUCCCAUCCUACAGAGAGAUGGGACAGCCCUGUGAGACCAAAGGCUUCUGCACAUGAGUGAGCUCAGUGUUGGCUUUUGCUGUGUAUGUGACUUAAAUCCAGGUGCCCCAGUCUGGGAUCUGUUGGUUUAGAGGUGAGGAAACCAUAGACAGACAAAUGAAAGGCUCAGCUCCACCUGCCAGCAGCUUACAGCUCCUGGUGGCUACUCCAGGAACACAGAGCUCGUUAGGAGAGCCUGGGCAGCCUCUAAUGAGCCAGCUCUGCAUUUUGGGGUGAGGGACGUGAAGAUUAUCUUCAACUUGCUUCUCUAUUUCUAGCAGUGCUGCUGAGCAGAUGCUCACAGGGUGAAAAGCAGGAUUCCCUCUGUGCCCCAAGAGCCCCUGGCAAAGCGUUCCCUGUCCCACCACGGCUGGGAGGGAGCAAAUCAAAGCAGAGCUGGGUAUAGAUUCAGGAAAUGUUGAUUAUAAAGGACUGCUGGCUGCUACAGCAAAGAGCAGAGUGAGAAUUCCUCCUCAUGAAGAGCUGCAGCUGCAGGUAAAUAGCUGUGUACUUUAUGGAAUUGGGCACAUUGGAGCUGGCAACGGCAAAAAUCCCAGCACAUCAGCAGUUUUAUUUCAUCCAGCUCAGCUACUUUUAUCUCCCUGAGCUCAAAUCCACCUGUACUGCAGUUAGGGCUGACAUUACCUCCCAGGCAGGUGUCCUUCAGCCCUUCCCUUCCCAGGACCAGUUGGAAGAACCAGUGAUUGCCACUCGGGCUGCCCAGACUUGUUUGGCCUCUCCCAGGAAUUGCCUUUUCCCAGGAGAUAUUGAGAAACAGCAUGCCUGAGACCAUUCCUGCUGACGUAAACAGAGCUCUGUGUCUGCCUGGGAGCAGACCUUUGCUUGGGACACAAUAUAUUUUCUGGAGCACCAGUGGAUGUUUGGGAUUCUGGGUACACCAGGGAGUCAUUAGCCCUCAAGAAACAUUAUGUGCAAGAUCAUGGAGGAUUUAACUCUGAAGGCUGUAGAGUUAUUUGUUAUUAAGGCCAUUUGAGGAUAAUUAAGAAGUCUGGCAUCAAUUGUCAAAUUUUGUUUCAUGAAUUAAUUUAAGCAGAACAAACAUAUUUAGAGAUUCUCAGCCCAUGGUGCUGCAGCCAUGUGUGAGCCCUGGCUGUGCUGCCUCCUCAUCCUUCCCUGCCACAGGCUCCAGCUCUCAUGGAGGUGAAAGUUUUGCCCCACAGUGCUGGGGCUCACUGGAAGCACUCAAUCAGCUGGACUUCUAGAGAAAUAUUGGGAAUAUGCUCUAAUUUUGAAGUCCCUGCCUUCUGUGUUGCCUAGAUACCAAUCACCAGACCUUUGGAGGGUUUAUUUUUGUUAGCAGGGACUGGAAAUGUCCUUCCCCCAGACUGGGUUCCUCUCUUCUGUCCUGAAUUUCCCCUGGCAUUCUUUGAUGCCCCAGCCAGGUGGAAGUGCUGAGGGGAGGUGCUGGGCACUGGAAGAAGGUGCUCUCCUGUUUAACCCUUGUUGGGAUUCAGUGUCUGUGCUGGCUGCUGGCCCUAACCUGGCCAGCCCUGGCUGCUGCAGGGACAGUGACACAGUGAGGGGCCAUUGCUGCUUCUCAGAGAGCCACAGGAGUGGGGACACAUCCUGUACAACAACCAGGGGAACCUCUCUGAGCCCAGCCCUGCAUCCCUGGGAUCACUGCUUCUCUCUGCUGGGGUUUUCCUGGCUCCUCUGCAGAGCAUGGGUGUUUUCCCUUAAAAUGGCCAUGCCUGAGGUCACACCAUUCCAUCAGUGCAGCACUAUUCACUUAAAAACCAAAUCUCUAAAAACAGAAGGACUCAGCUGAAAGGAGGGGCUCAGGAAUGGCAUCACUGAGCACCAUGCACAGGAAAGAAACUGCUCAGAAACCUGCUCUGAAAACCCUCUUGCCUGGUGAGCCCCUGUCACCAGGUGCCACAGGGCUGGCAUUGUGACAGCCAGCCCCUCUCUGCUGCUGUCAGACUCUGGCCUUGACACCUGCAACCCCAAACCUCUGUGCCCAACACCUGGAGCUCCACAGCAGCUCAGCCACCACAGCCCUGGUGCCAGGCUGCACAGGGGACACCCCUCUGCUGGUGCCCUGCUCUGGGCACAGCCCCCAGCCCUGGUCUCAGAGAACUGGGGCAGCAGGAGGUGGCCCAGGUUCUCCACAGCCUGGCCUCAGCCUCAAGCCCCCUGUGUCCCCUCCCUGCAAGGCUCUGUCUUGUCCAGGACCACCAGAGACCCCUUCCAACUGCAGGACAGGCUGUCCCCAGGUAGACCACACUGGGAAAAGACACAAUUUUAAAUUGGAUGAAAGUAGCUAAGAACCAGGCACCUGCCUGCCAAGGCUUUUUGCUGACAGAAUCCAAUUGUUUGGGACUGGGAGUUUCUUCCUCUCCAUUUUCUGAGGAAUGUGGUGAGUCAGGGCCUGGCAGGGCAAGGAGAGCUCACUCUGAGUAUUGGGCACAUUCCCAGCUCCUCCUGGGAGGAGACUCCCCUGGGACUGGGGGUGCCUGAGCCCAGGAAUUGACCUUCAGAGGGGCCUUGGGAACCGUCAGCCUCCUUCUGAGAAGAAACCAACACCUGGACUUUUGCUGCGAUGCAGGAAGGGAAUGAAGGUGGAAUUAUGAGCUUUGCAAAAGCUCAAGAUUUGUUUUCACUUUAUGUCCUUAGUUCAAAAACUCAGACACAAAGCUGGCAUUGAAGCCCUUAGAGGGGUUCUGGGGGUGGUCCUGCCAAACACCCUCUGAACAAAACAGCUCCUGAGCAUCUGAAAUCUGGUCUGUGGUUCAGCAAUGAGAGCUCUGCUGUGAAGACACAGGUAUAGAGGCUGUGGGCCAGGACCAGCUGGAAGAGGGCCAGGACCUGUGGCUCUGCAGUGGGAUUUGAGGUGCUCACCGAUGUCACCAGGAGCCACCUGAGACAAGAAUUGCCUCUUAAGUGUUUCAGAAGAAUGAAAACUUGACCCAUCUAUACAAACUACAUUUUCAAGAAGUGAAAGAAGAUGCUAAACAGAAACUCUCUGGAAGACCAGGGAUCAAUUAUUUGCAAGUGAAAGAACCCUCUUAAAAGGCUCACCAGAAUUGGAUCUCCUCUUUCAUACUGGUAAUUUGGCACUAGGGUGAGAAAUCUCUACCAUUUUCGUAAAUCAGACCAUAAAUACUGGGGCAUUAACAAGCAGGGACACUGACUGUGCAAAUUCUAACAAUGAAUCAAUAAUCUAAAUGAUUUUCCCCUCCUUUACCGAGCGUCAAAGGCAUAAAAAACCUUGGAAAGCUU